CUUUCUUGUUACACACAGGCAGCACACCAUAUGAAUCAAAAGUUAAUCACGUGCUUCUUGCCCCUCUCUCUCUCUCCCUCUCUUCACAUGUACUCUCGUGGAUUUAGUCAGAUUUGAUUUAUUCUUGUUUCCUUUCCAGAUUUAAUUUCAUCCUUGUUUCCAAGAUCUUCCUAUUCAUAAUCUAUUAAAUAAUGACUUGUACAUACGUAUUUUAUCAUGUCUACUAAUAAUCUCAUCACAUUGCAGUUCAUACAUCAGUUUAUUUUAUCCUGUUUCCUUCAACUAUGUAUUUAGGCUGUUCAUUUUCCCUUUUUCAGAUGUAUGUCAUGUAUGUGUAGCCAUGGUUCUGAAACACCCCCAUUCCUUCUCUUCCUACCAAUUUUCAUUGAUUCAGUUAUUUGACUAAAUGAUAAUAUAUGCCCCAGGGUUAAUUAGUACCUAAAAUGCUACCUUUGGUUUGUGAAAAAGAUCUAGAGUGGCUUAUGCAGCUCCUGUUAUGUUUCAUUGAUUCAGUCAUGUAGUAGGAUAGUUCCACUGGAUUUUACUAAAUGGUUUGUAGCUUUACUUAGUGAAAAUGCCUCAAUUGGUUUCCGCAACAUUGCUUGUCUGUUGGCAGCUGGAGCAUACUUGGUACAUGAGCCUUGCCGUGAGUGGUGGUGCAACGGUGACCUUGACGAGCAGGGCAAUGGCCAGACACGAGUAAGACACCAAAGAUGACUGGAAGCACUCAAAAAUGUUUACCACGCUGGAGCUAUGUCAGGUUGUACGAGGGCAGUUAAUGAAUAUACUUGCGACCCUUUUACUCUCAGACUCUCCUCCUUUUCUCGCUGCUGAACCCCUGCCAUCAUCAUGUCCAGACUGGCUGUCUCCAUGGUUGUGGCGCCAAGGUCACCGCAUCUUACAUCCUGAUGCAUUUUCAAGAAGACAUUAUUUGAUGUUAGAUGGCCAUUAUGUUCGCUUCAUAUGGACAGAGGACUAAUGGUACUCUUCCAUGAAGAGAAGCAAGUGGAUCAGUAUGUAGUAGCAGGUAUCAAUGUUUUCUCAUACUGAUGAUUCUGAAGUAAUUAGAUUGAGAAAAUUGCUUUAUUCCCCAAUUUCUCUCUGAAACCUUUGCCUUGUCCAUAGUCAUACCUAAAUGAGUUACUUUAUGUCCUAUAGCUCUAUUACUUUUUUCCCUAGAACCUGUCUCUUUAGUCUCCUUUACAAUACCAUGAUCAGGAGGCAAGAAAUAUGUGUGAAUGGAAUAAGAACUGUAUAUAGUUAUUGAUAAGCAUCUUCCAGUAUCUAACAUAUAAAGCCUCCUAGAGCACCCGCCAUUCAGGAGGCCUUCCCGUGCGCAUCAUUCCUGUCCGUUCGAUCUCCUUUGACUUUGGCUCCUGGUCGUUCGAUCAUUUGACUGGUGGUAAUUUUUGGUCACUGUGUAAUUAAUUUCUUGGCCUAUGACUGGUGGGCUCAGCACUCACAUGGAUUGGCUGGGUCAGUUGUUCCCUUGUCUGCGAGGGAUUAGGCAGCCACUCCGCGCCCGCCCCGUGCUCGACGUGCACAUCCUGAGCCCCGCGCCCCCUUGGCUCUCUCCUCUCCCUCCUUGUCGCCAACCCUAAACAUUUUCCCUCUCCACCCUACAGCCGCCUCCCCUAGCUCCUCGUCCCCUUCACUCAGUCCAUCCCUCAUCAUCUCGGAUCCAGCGGAUCUGAGGCGUGCGGGUGCGGAGGCGAGUUUCUCCGGCGGCGGCGGCGGCGGUCACCUGCAGGCAAAGGGCGGUGGCCGCACUCGAUUUGAUCUGCAGGAAAGAUAGAACAUGAGGAGAAAGAAGGAAGGAAAGGAGGAACGCCACCAUGGGCGAGGAGGGGCAACAUGGUCUUCGUGGUGGGAAUGGAGGAGAAGAGGAGGAUGGAGGUGGGUGGUGGGAGCAGAGUACCAGGAGUUCCAGGUCCAGGUGACGCUCGUGGAGUGGAGAAGCUCGUCUCCAGCAUCACCAUCCCCAAUCUAGCUCUGAGAUAGAAAAGAAGAGAAAUAAUCUUGUGGAAUUUCUUAUCUGAGAUAGAAAAGAAGAGAAAGAUCUUGUGGAAGAGCUUGACGAAAAAGAAAGGGAUCUGAGAUAGAAAAGAAGAGAAAUAAUCUUGUGGAAUUUCAUAUCUGAGAAAAGAAGAGAAAGAUUCUUGUGGAAGAGCAGCUUGACAAAAAAGAAAGGGGUGAAUCAUCUCUUUCUCCCAUUCAUGUUUGUUUCUGCAUUUUCAUUUUUAUGUUAUAUAUGGUUUGCUCAAAUCCUAUUUAUAUUCAACUUCUUCGAACCAUCUAUUUUUCUUGCACUAGAAUAUUGCAAAGGGAAAAUUUAUUUACAAAGCUUGUCAUUUUGAUCUUGUGUAGGCGGCACAACUGUACACCACCAUGAACAGGGGCAACACUCACAUUUACCCUCCAAAAUUCAACAUUUUCAUAUUUUGAGGAGCUUCAGUACGUUUGCUCACCGAUGAACUAGAAGUUGUUUUGUGUACUGCAUGAUUGAGGAAGUGCUAUUGCAGAUCAAAGUUGGUAGAAGCAUCUGCUGGGAAUCAAGUGUUACAUGGCUGUGGGUGACAAGGUUAGUGGUUUAGGAGUUCCUGCCAACACUGGCUUUUGGAAUUUAUCCUCGCUUCAUCAGUUGGGAUUUCUGUACAAAACUAAGAUAAUUUAUUUUGGUGCUUGCGAUGAG